rnacentral:rRNA from 1 species
CAGUCGCCGCGGGAAUACGAAGGGGGCUAGCGUUGUUCGGAAUUACUGGGCGUAAAGCGCACGUAGGCGGACAUUUAAGUCAGGGGUGAAAUCCCGGGGCUCAACCCCGGAACUGCCUUUGAUACUGGGUGUCUAGAGUAUGGAAGAGGUGAGUGGAAUUCCGAGUGUAGAGGUGAAAUUCGUAGAUAUUCGGAGGAACACCAGUGGCGAAGGCGGCUCACUGGUCCAUUACUGACGCUGAGGUGCGAAAGCGUGGGGAGCAAACAGGAUUAGAUACCCGCGUAGUCCCUGUCUCUUAUAC